UGCAAGUUCGAAGCGGUAGAAGAGAAGCUAUGCUUUCUCUAUGAGAGCGGCGGACGGGUGAGUAAUGCCUAGGAAUCUGCCUGGUAGUGGGGGAUAACGUUCGGAAACGGACGCUAAUACCGCAUACGUCCUACGGGAGAAAGCAGGGGACCUUCGGGCCUUGCGCUAUCAGAUGAGCCUAGGUCGGAUUAGCUAGUUGGUGAGGUAAUGGCUCACCAAGGCGACGAUCCGUAACUGGUCUGAGAGGAUGAUCAGUCACACUGGAACUGAGACACGGUCCAGACUCCUACGGGAGGCAGCAGUGGGGAAUAUUGGACAAUGGGCGAAAGCCUGAUCCAGCCAUGCCGCGUGUGUGAAGAAGGUCUUCGGAUUGUAAAGCACUUUAAGUUGGGAGGAAGGGUUGUAGAUUAAUACUCUGCAAUUUUGACGUUACCGACAGAAUAAGCACCGGCUAACUCUGUGCCAGCAGCCGCGGUAAUACAGAGGGUGCAAGCGUUAAUCGGAAUUACUGGGCGUAAAGCGCGCGUAGGUGGUUUGUUAAGUUGGAUGUGAAAUCCCCGGGCUCAACCUGGGAACUGCAUUCAAAACUGACUGACUAGAGUAUGGUAGAGGGUGGUGGAAUUUCCUGUGUAGCGGUGAAAUGCGUAGAUAUAGGAAGGAACACCAGUGGCGAAGGCGACCACCUGGACUAAUACUGACACUGAGGUGCGAAAGCGUGGGGAGCAAACAGGAUUAGAUACCCUGGUAGUCCACGCCGUAAACGAUGUCAACUAGCCGUUGGAAGCCUUGAGCUUUUAGUGGCGCAGCUCACGCAUUAAGUUGACCGCCUGGGGAGUACGGCCGCAAGGUUAAGACUCACAUGAAUUGACCGGGGCCCGCACAAGCGGUGGAGCAUGUGGUUUAAUUCGAAGCAACGCGAAGAACCUUACCAGGCCUUGACAUCCGAUGAACUUUCUAGAGAUAGAUUGGUGCCUUCGGGAACAUUGAGACAGGUGCUGCAUGGCUGUCGUCAACUCGUGUCGUGAGAUGUUGGGUUAAGUCCCGUAACGAACGCAACCCUUGUCCUUAGUUACCAGCACGUAAUGGUGGGCACUCU
rnacentral:rRNA from 1 species